GAUGAACGCUGGCGGCAUGCCUAACACAUGCAAGUCGAACGGUAAGGCUCUUCGGAGUACACGAGAGGCGGACGGCUGAGUAACGCGUAGGAACACACACUGCAGUGAGGGAUAAGACACCGAAAGGUGUUCUAAUACCGCAUCCGGUCUUCGGAUUAAAGCAUUUAUGCGCUGAAGGAGUGGCCUGCGUCAUAUUAGAUGGUUGGUGAGGUAAUGGCUCACCAAGUCGAUGAUGUGUAGCUGGUCUGAGAGGAUGAUCAGCCAGACUGGAACUGAGACACGGUCCAGACUCCUACGGGAGGCAGCAGUGCGGAAUAUUGCACAAUGAGCGAAAGCUUGAUGGAGCAAUGCCGCGUGCAGGAUGAAGUCCCUCGGGUUGUAAACUGCUUUUAUAAGAGAAGAUUAUGACGGUAACUUAUGAAUAAGGGACGGCUAACUACGUG
rnacentral:rRNA from 1 species